ensembl:lncRNA
GCGAAUAUAUUCAGCACCAAGGCCAGCGGUCAGAAACAGAUCGGUUAGUUCAAUAGCUUUUCACUUGAGACUACGGAAAGGGAUACUCCGCAGACCUAUGGAUAUUUGUAAACGCGAUCAGAUUUUCUUCUCAUUUCGUAAGGAAGGAAUCAACAAGAGGACCCGGAAUUGUUGGCAUGGCAACAGCACCCUUAAAGCAGCAAUAAGGAGUUCUGUUCCAAAACUAGCAAGCUAUCGCUAGAUAACUCCCUAAAGGCAUGCAAAGGCAUUUUUGCAGGGUAUUCCAGCCCGGUACACAGAACUACAUAGGGCAUAUCCUGGAUGGCCAGUGGGAAAGACGGAUGAACUAUCAUGAACUAUCAUGGAUGUGGUGAUUAACAUUAUCACAGAGCAACGGAUCUGAGGUUUAUAGAUCAGCUUCUGAAAACCUCAGUUAGGCCAAAGUAAACUUAUUGUAGCAGUGCCUUGUUAGACUGGCAUUAACGUUAUAUGAAGGGCUACUUAAAUCUAGAGGCCACUAAUACAUGUGAGUCCUGGGGUAGAGAAAUUAAGACACUAAAUUACAGAGAUGGUAGGCGCGCUGGAACCUCUUUCAUGCAAGGGGGGCUGUGGGCUCCAUAUAUAUCUAUGGUGGGCUCUACUAAAAUAUGUGACAUCACAGCAAUAUGAUAUUAGACAAGUAUUUAGAGGCAAUUUAGAAGCACUGAUUGAUUACUAGUUUGUUUUGAUUGCCAAAAUAGGUUAUCCUUUCACAGAAAUGUAUUUUCAUCACUAUGGAUUUAAGAAGAUAUCAAGACAACAGGCUGAAGUAUGGGCACAUGUAGUGAGUGGUCAGAGAUGAAGAGAAUCUCUUCAACUGAUAUAAUUCAAUUUAUUACAUUUUUAUUCAUAAUAUAAUAUAAUAUUCACUGGAUUGGAACAAUAACUGAAAAAGUAUGUGACAAUCUACAGAAGCAUCAUCCAUCCAACAACAGGUAAAAGCCCGGCUGAAUUGCUUUUCAACCGAAAGAUGAGAGGAAAGCUACCUGAACUGAUUGAAGUGUACACGGAUCAGGAUGUAUGUGACCGUGACCCUGAGCAAAAGGCUAAGUAGAGUAAGCUGUAUGCAGACACACGCAGAGGAGCGCAGCAGUCAGAAGCAGUCAGAGGGAAAGACCUUGUGACGGCAUGGAAAGACAGCUGGCGGGAGGGAAUAGACCCCAACGGGGCUGCCACGGGCUAGCUACCCAUGGUAGCGGGACCCAGCACGAACGGUGUAUGAGUCCCACCCACCAAUGGCUACGAAAAAUUAUAAGGAAAAAAUACCCCUUGAGUCAGCGAGAGCGGGGCGGAAGAUGACUCAUCGGCGGAUAACCCGGUUAUUGACAUAGGAACGGAACAGACUACGAGUUUGAUGAUACCCAAGCAUACCCAAGACUGCAACAGCUACAGCAGGACACAAGCUCCAGAGCUGCAUAUGUGGCUGGGCAAAGGUUACUUCCACUAGAGGCCUAAAAAUACAUCAGGGCAAGAAAGGGUGCCUAAAGAAGGGUCAACAGGGAUCUCGCAUCGACAGCUACUUUCUGAGAAGCAGGUCGAGUCAGUCGACUGAAGUUCAGCAGCAGGGCCAAAACCACAGUCUGCAGGACAUCAACAUCCCUGUCCCAGAAGAGGACGAACCUUGCACAGGAAACCAACCUGAACCCAGCCCAGCAAGACCUGCAGUGGAAAAGAAGAUCCAGGGGCGAAGGCCACUGAUCAAGUGGCCAAAAUCCUGCGAAAAGGCACUGUGGAUGGAGGUCAACACUGACCUCUGCAACAUCUUAGAGGGGCUCAAAGGCACCACCAGGAAGAAGCUGGAGAAAAUGGGAGAUCUUAUAUACAGCUAUGGAUCGGAAAGGUUUGGAGCAGUCGAAAGAAAGAGAUCUGAACCGACAAUCUCCACUAAGUCCAGGAGGCAGAAGGAAAUAGAUCGCCUAGUCAGAGAAAGGAGGCAGCUGAAGAAGCAGUGGAGGAAAGCCACGGAGGAGGAAAAGGAGGGUAUCAACGUCUUGCAGGAGGCCAUCCGGAGUAGACUUGUGACACUGAGAAGAGCGGAAAAUCUGGUAAAGAAGCGCAGAAGGAAGGAACAGACAAGAUCACGCUUCUACAAAGACCCCUUCAAAUUUGUGAAGAGUCUCUUUACAGCGGAGAAGAGUGGAAGCCUCUCAGUGUCAAAGGCAGACCUGGAAAAACAUCUGGAAAAGUCCUGUACAGAUGCCAAACGCCACGAAGAGGUUAUUCUCCCAUCUGAUAUGCCACCAAUCAACCCACCAGAGCACCAGCUAGAUAUCAGCCCACCCAGAUGGAGCGAAGUGGAGAAAACUGUGCGUAGAGCAAGGGCUGCUUCAGCCCCAGGUCCUAACGGAGUUCCAUACAGGCUCUACAAAAAUGCACCAGACGCCCUGCGAUUCCUCUGGAAGCUCAUGAGGGUGGUCUGGCAAAAGAAGGAGAUACCAACAUCCUGGCAGAGAGCUGGAGGAAUCCUUAUCCCAAAGGAAAAGGACUCAUCAGAAAUCGGCCAAUUCCGCCAGAUCAGCCUCCUAAACGUCGAGGGGAAGAUAUUCUUCAGUGUGGUCGCUCACAGACUGGCAGGAUACCUGCAAAGAAACCAUCUGAUUGACACAUCAAUCCAGAAAGCAGGCAUCUCUGGCUUCUCCGGUUGUCUGGAACAUGCGAGUACCAUCUGGCAUCAGAUCAAAGUUGCCAAGACGGAGGGAACAGAUCUUCACGUGGUGUUCCUGGAUCUCGCCAACGCCUUUGGCUCAGUCCCUCACAACCUCCUCUGGACCGCAUUUGACUUCUUCAGGGUCCCUGUAGCCCUAACAAGCCUUGUCAAGGCCUACUUCCAGGACGUGCAGGUGUGCCUAUCAACAGCAGAG